CAAAUCCGUCAACUUUUCUACUUUUUGUGUUUAUCGUUCAAAUAAAUAUAAAUGCAGUAUAAAUAUCAGACAAUUUAGGCUCAGCUCAAUUUACUUUCAGCCAAACAAUGCAAUAAUAAUGGCCCAAGCUGUAGGACGAAAGACAAUGGUGGUACCACGGGAUACGGUGUCUCGACCUGUGGCUGUGAAAGCGUUUGGAGACAAAACAGCAAAACAAACAAAAACAAGGAAUAAAAGUAGUUCUAAGAUACCAAAAACAUUGCGCCACGAUUUGGAGAAUGCUCUAGUUAAUCUCUGCGACAUAUGGUUCGAAGAGAUCAAGCCCCACUUAAUCCGUAACAACAUAAAGCUGCAUGUACACGGGCAGGCUGGUGACGGCAAGCUGCCGCCUGCAGCGCCGGGCUGCUCACACCUCGACCCAGAAUCAUCAGCAGCGAAAUGUGAGCUGUGCCGACUGCUGUCGUCCGCCGCGAACAGCAUCGGCAGCGCGGUGUCGCAGGCCGCCGCCGCGCCCAGCACCUCCACGCCCUAACACAUCGCCUGUGUCUCAGAACCAAAUCCAUCAUCGCAAUGAAGGUUCAAAAAGAAAACCACGCAAAAGGAAACGUGUUCGCAAGCACACACAAUCCGAGGGAAGGUUGCGAGUGCCUCGUCUCUGUCAUAAUUUAGGUCUACCCCCACCCACACAGCAAAAAUCCUCUCGUGCUAAACGACAGUCAAAAUAUAAUCCGGAAAUUAUAAAUUCAAUACAAAUAAGGAGGAAAAUAAAAGAGCAGUCUACACAAACAGAAAUUAACGGGAAAUUGUUUAACAGCAUAUCUUGUAACGUACCAAAGUCACCUGAAUUUACAGAAAACAAAAGAAUUGUAUCGUUUCGCCCAAAUGAACCAAGGAGGAAUCGUCUGAAAAAGGAUAUUGUUCACUCUCCAUUAUUUGAAAAGGCAAGAGCAUUUAUAUGAUUAUAGUAAAUUGACAUUUUCAAUGUAGACGGUCAUUCUCAUAUAGGAAUUAUAUUCAUAAAGACAUUAUCAAAUGUUUAAGUUAGUUUUAGCAGAGCGCGCCAAAACGCAUUUUCAUACGCUAAAACAUAACGCAUACGUCCGCAGUCAUAAUCUCUUAUAUUAGGUUCAUAAUUUUCAGUUUCAAUUUGAUCUUAAAUUGAAUCUACAUAACAAUAUCUCUAAUGCUUAACACAACAUUUGAUUGGCUAUAAAUAUGAUGUGUAUUUUUUUUAGGAUCUAAUUGAUAUUAUAUGUUCGGAAAAUGACAAGAGAUUGAAAAUUUUAUACAAGAGUCCGUCGAGAUCAAAUAAAUCAUCAUUAAUGAAUUUAAUGCCUGAACUCGAAACACAAUCAAAAAAAUGUAAAAAGAAAGGAAACACCCCACCGUGGAAAUGAGGUCUAUGUGCCAUAUGCAUAAAUAUUUCUGUAGGGUUAUACAUAGAUAAUUAA